CAGGAGUGAUAAGCGUGAACUAGAGAGUGCUGUGCAGGAGGAAGCUGGGGCCGCCGUCGGGCCUUCUCCCUCCAGGGGCCCAAGAGCCACUGGUACUCAGUGUCUGGGUGGGGGCAGGGGGGAUUUUUGUUCUCCCAGCACCUGCGGCUGUUGAGACCAGAGAAGCUGGUGGUCGACCACAGCCUGGGGUAUUAGUUCACCCCUAGCUUCUCCCCAGCGAGACCCCAGGGCCCUUGGGCACAGGGGAUUAAGCCUCUAUCUGCUUACGUGCAAGCGGAAGAAAUAGGCCCAGAGAGCAACAGUGGCGGGUCUGCAGUCACACAGCCAACUUGCGCUUGUGGCAGUGGCAAGGUUGGUGAGUAUCUGAGUCUUCAGGCCACGGCAUUUUCCGCUCGAGUGGAGCCUGAAGUUCUGAGGGUACCCCUCACUCAAGCUCCAGGCGUCAGGAAAAGAACAUUCCACGAAGUCCAUCUGGAAGACGGUCCUUUCCCUGCUGCCCCCAGCUUCUAGAACAUUCCCUGGAACACAGCAAGUGUUCAGUAUUGUUCAUGGAGUGACAGAUGUCUCAGCCAAGAAGGUACAAUCACAGGGAAGAAUGACUUCAACUGGUCUUGACUUCAACCUGCUUCCAGCCUGGUUCCCUUCUCCCACCUCCCUACAGCCCACAGAAGAUCUUUUCCAAACUGGAAGUCUGUCCAGGUCAUUCUUCUGCUCUAAGGCUUUCAGUAGCUCCCCCUUAUCCCCAGGAGGAAGUCCAAAUGCCUUAACAAGUGUCAAGGAACACUUGGUGAGCCCUGCUUUCCUUGCUAGUCACUCGUGCACAGCUGAGUCUUUCCCCAGAGUGGAUGUCAUUCAUGCUGUUCCCAUUGCCUGGAUUCCUGCUCCUCUCCACCCCAUUCAACUGAUAAACUCGUGGUUUUUUUUUUUUUUUUUUUUUUUUU
rnacentral:lncRNA from 1 species